AGGCCAGUAGCUCAAUCCGGCAGAGCACCGGUCUCCAAAACCGGGUGUUGGGGGUUCGAUUCCCUCCUGGCCUG
rnacentral:tRNA from 1 species